GACGAACGCUGGCGGCGUGCUUAACACAUGCAAGUCGAACGGAAAGGCCCUGCUUUUGUGGGGUGCUCGAGUGGCGAACGGGUGAGUAACACGUGAGUAACCUGCCCUUGACUUUGGGAUAACUUCAGGAAACUGGGGCUACUACCGGAUAGGAGCUCCUGCUGCAUGGUGGGGGUUGGAAAGUUUCGGCGGGUGGGGAUGGACUCGCGGCUUAUCAGCUUGUUGGUGGGGUAGUGGCUUACCCAGGCUUUGACGGGUAGCCGGCCUGAGAGGGUGACCGGGCACAUUGGGACUGAGAUACGGCCCAGACGCCUACGGGAGGCAGCAGUGGGGAAUAUUGCACAAUGGGCGGAAGCCUGAUGCAGCAACGCCGCGUGCGGGAUGACGGCCUUCGGGUUGUAAACCGCUUUCGCCUGUGACGAAGCGUGAGUGACGGUAAUGGGUAAAGAAGCACCGGCUAACUACGUG
rnacentral:rRNA from 1 species